ACUCAUAACUAAAUACUUUAUUUAUAAUAAGUAAACAAAUAAUAAAAUCUCCUUUCAGUAUUGAUGUUCGUAAAUUACUUGCUUUUGAUGAUGUUUCAGUGUCAUUCCACUUCGAAAUUAUAAAUAACGUUUCAAUUAGGUACCCAAAAAGCUCAAGAAAAUCAUUGACAGCAUAAAAACGUUCAACUCACUUAGUCGCACAUAAUUGUUUUAAUGAUUUUUUAGUUAUACAUUUUUGACUUUCUUCGAUUUGACUUUUCAACACAUCUUUUCGCUUUGGGUAUAUGAAAAAAUCUCUAACUUUAGAUGUUGUUCCUAAUCAAUUUCGUGUUUCUUGUAUAGAAGAUGAAUAAGAAAUAGCAAGGUUUAAAACAUGAACAGCACAAUGAACAAACGUCGCAAGCGGAUGAAUUUGGUGAAUAAGAGAUUGAGCUCCGUUAAAUUGAUCAGACAUAGAAGCACAUCCAUCGUAACACUGUCCUCUAAGUAGUAUCUGUUGUAGGCACAAACUGAAGAAUUCUUCCUUGAUAAUCAUAUUUUCAACAUCUAAAUAUCGAACACACAAAGUUACUUGUUCGCUUCCACCAAUGUCGGCCGUUUCAUCAGCAAGUAUUUUGAAACAUCUUUAGGCAUUUAUGUUUGUUACGAUUCUAUUUAAAAUAAUUUUAU